rnacentral:rRNA from 1 species
GAUGAACGCUGGCGGCGUGCCUAAUACAUGCAAGUCGAGCGAACAGACGAGGAGCUUGCUCCUCUGACGUUAGCGGCGGACGGGUGAGUAACACGUGGAUAACCUACCUAUAAGACUGGGAUAACUUCGUGAAACCGGAGCUAAUACCGGAUAAUAUAUUGAACCGCAGGGUUCAAUAGUGAAAGACGGUUUUGCUGUCACUUAUAGAUGGAUCCGCGCCGCAUUAGCUAGUUGGUAAGGUAACGGCUUACAAAGGCAACGAGGCGUAGCCGCCCUGAGAGGGUGAAUGGCUACACUGGUAGUGAGACACGGUCCAGACUCCGACGGGAGGAAGCAGUCGGGAAUCUUACGCAAGGGGCGAGAGGCGGAUGGAGCAAAGCCGCGUGAGUCAUGAAGUUGUUCGGACGCUAAAACGCUGAUAGUAGGGGAGAAGUAAUGUGUAAGUAACUGUGCAGGUAUUGACGGUACCUAAUGAGAAAGCCACGGCUAACUACGUG